GGAGAGGUAGCAUAGUCUGGCCUAAUGCGCGCGCCUGGAGAGCGCGUGAGCGGUCAUUCCGCUCCGUGGGUUCAAAUCCCACCCUCUCCG
rnacentral:tRNA from 1 species